rnacentral:rRNA from 1 species
UACGUAGGGUGCAAGCGUUGUCCGGAAUUAUUGGGCGUAAAGAGCUCGUAGGCGGUUUGUCGCGUCUGCUGUGAAAACCCGAGGCUCAACCUCGGGCCUGCAGUGGGUACGAGCAGACUAGAGUGCGGUAGGGGAGAUUGGAAUUCCUGGUGUAGCGGUGGAAUGCGCAGAUAUCAGGAGGAACACCAAUGGCGAAGGCAGAUCUCUGGGCCGUAACUGACGCUGAGGAGCGAAAGCAUGGGGAGCGAACAGG